GAUGAACGCUGGCGGCGUGCCUAAUACAUGCAAGUCGAGCGAACGGACGAGAAGCUUGCUUCUCUGAUGUUAGCGGCGGACGGGUGAGUAACACGUGGAUAACCUACCUAUAAGACUGGGAUAACUUCGGGAAACCGGAGCUAAUACCGGAUAAUAUUUUGAACCGCAUGGUUCAAAAGUGAAAGACGGUCUUGCUGUCACUUAUAGAUGGAUCCGCGCUGCAUUAGCUAGUUGGUAAGGUAACGGCUUACCAAGGCAACGAUGCAUAGCCGACCUGAGAGGGUGAUCGGCCACACUGGACUGAGACACGGUCCAGACUCCUACGGGAGGCAGCAGUAGGGAAUCUUCCGCAAUGGGCGAAAGCCUGACGGAGCAACGCCGCGUGAGUGAUGAAGGUCUUCGGAUCGUAAAACUCUGUUAUUAGGGAAGAACAUAUGUGUAAGUAACUGUGCACAUCUUGACGGUACCUAAUCAGAAAGCCACGGCUAACUACGUG
rnacentral:rRNA from 1 species